rnacentral:rRNA from 1 species
GAUGAACGCUGGCGGCGUGCUUAACACAUGCAAGUCGAGCGAAGCACCUUGACGGAUUUCUUCGGGAUGAAGUAUUGGUGACUGAGCGGCGGACGGGUGAGUAACGCGUGGGUAACCUGCCUCAUACAGGGGGAUAACAGUUGGAAACGACUGCUAAUACCGCAUAAGCGCACAGUACCGCAUGGUACGGUGUGAAAAACUCCGGUGGUAUGAGAUGGACCCGCGUCUGAUUAGGUAGUUGGUGGGGUAACGGCCUACCAAGCCGACGAUCAGUAGCCGACCUGAGAGGGUGACCGGCCACAUUGGGACUGAGACACGGCCCAAACUCCUACGGGAGGCAGCAGUGGGGAAUAUUGCACAAUGGGGGAAACCCUGAUGCAGCGACGCCGCGUGAGCGAAGAAGUAUUUCGGUAUGUAAAGCUCUAUCAGCAGGGAAGAUAAUGACGGUACCUGACUAAGAAGCCCCGGCUAACUACGUGCCAGCCGCCGCGGUAA